rnacentral:rRNA from 1 species
UACGUAGGUGGCAAGCGUUGUCCGGAUUUAUUGGGUUUAAAGGGUGCGUAGGCGGUCUGAUAAGUCAGUUGUGAAAUACGGCAGCUUAACUGUCGAGGUGCAAUUGAUACUGUUGGACUUGAGUACUGAUGAGGUAGGCGGAAUGGACGGUGUAGCGGUGAAAUGCUUAGAGAUCGGCAGGAACACCCAGGGGGAAACCAGCCGACUGGGCAUCUACUGACGCUGAGGUGCGAGAGCGUGGGGAGCGAACCGG